UACGUAGGGUGCGAGCGUUGUCCGGAAUUAUUGGGCGUAAAGAGCUUGUAGGCGGUUGUCGCGUCUGCUGUGAAAAUCCGGGGCUCAACUCCGGACUUGCAGUGGGUACGGGCAGGCUAGAGUGUGGUAGGGGAGACUGGAAUUCCUGGUGUAGCGGUGAAAUGCGUAGAUAUCCUGGAGGAAUACCGGUGGCGAAGGCGGUCUGCUGGGACG
rnacentral:rRNA from 1 species